rnacentral:rRNA from 2 species
GGGUUGUGAGGUUAAGCGACUAAGCGUACACGGUGGAUGCCCUGGCAGUCAGAGGCGAUGAAGGACGUGCUAAUCUGCGAAAAGCGUCGGUAAGGUGAUAUGAACCGUUAUAACCGGCGAUGUCCGAAUGGGGAAACC